GGGCGCAUAGCUCAGUUGGUUAGAGCACUCGGCUGAUAACCGAGAGGUCACAGGUUCGAGUCCUGUUGCGCCCACCA
rnacentral:tRNA from 1 species